AAGUCGUAACAAGGUCUCCGUUGGUGAACCAGCGGAGGGAUCAUUACCGAGGCGAGCGCUGAGCUCCCGAAACCCCCGCGUACGUACAGUGUUGUUGCUUCGGCGGGUAAACCUCUGAAUGCCCUCGCGGGCGCCCGCCGGAGGCCACCAGACCCGAGUCUUUGCAGCGUCUCUCUGAGCGGAUUUUUGCGAGUAAAAACCUUCAACAACGGAUCUCUUGGCUCUGGCAUCGAUGAAGAACGCAGCGAAAUGCGAUACGUAAUGCGAAUUGCAGAAUCCAGUGAGUCAUCGAAUCUUUGAACGCACAUGGCGCCCGCCAGUAUUCUGGCGGGCAUGCCUGUCCGAGCGUCAUUUCAACCCUCAAGCCCGGCUUGUGUUGGGGCGCUGUCCGAGCAGGACAGGCCCUGAAAUGCAGUGGCGAGGCCCGCCGAGGCUCCGGGCGUAGUAACCAAACGUCGCCCUGGCGCCCGCGAGCCUCCGCCGUGAAAACGUCUCCCACGCAAGGUUGACCUCGGAUCGGGCAGGACUACCGCUGAACUUAAGCAUAUCAAUAAGCGGAGGAAAAGAACCAACAGGGAUUGCCCCAGUAACGGCGAGUGAAGCGCAACAGCUCAGAUUUGAAAUCCGGCCCCCCACGGGGCCCGAGUUGUAAUCUGCAGAGGGAGCUUUCUGGCGCGGUGGCCUUCCGAGUUCCCUGGAACGGGACGCCACAGAGGGUGAGAGCCCCGUAUGGUCUGGCACCAAGCCGCUGUAGAGCCCCUUCGACGAGUCGAGUAGUUUGGGAAUGCUGCUCUAAGGGGGAGGUAAAUGCCUUCUAAAGCUAAAUACCGGCCAGAGACCGAUAGCGCACAAGUAGAGUGAUCGAAAGAUGAAAAGCACCUUGAAAAGGGGGUCAAAUAGCACGUGAAAUUGUUGAAGGGGAAGCGCUCGUGACCAGACGUGCCCCGGGCGGAUCAUCCGGCGUUCUGCGCCGGUGCGCUCUGCCCGGGUCAGGCCAGCAUCGGUUCCCGCGGGGGGACAAAAGCGGCGGGAAUGUGGCUCCCCAGGGAGUGUUAUAGCCCGCCGCCGAAUGCCUCCGGGGGGACCGAGGUUCGCGCCCUCGUGGCAAGGAUGCUGGCGUAAUGGUCACCAGCGACC
rnacentral:rRNA from 1 species